rnacentral:rRNA from 1 species
GACGAACGCUGGCGGCGUGCUUAACACAUGCAAGUCGAACGGAAAGGCCCUGCUUUUGUGGGGUGCUCGAGUGGCGAACGGGUGAGUAACACGUGAGUAACCUGCCCUUGACUUUGGGAUAACUUCAGGAAACUGGGGCUAAUACCGGAUAGGAGCUCCUGCUGCAUGGUGGGGGUUGGAAAGUUUCGGCGGUUGGGGAUGGACUCGCGGCUUAUCAGCUUGUUGGUGGGGUAGUGGCUUACCAAGGCUUUGACGGGUAGCCGGCCUGAGAGGGUGACCGGCCACAUUGGGACUGAGAGACGGCCCAGACUCCUACGGGAGGCAGCAGGGGGGAAUAUUGCACAAUGGGCGGAAGCCUGAUGCAGCAACGCCGCGUGCGGGAUGACGGCCUUCGGGUUGUAAACCGCUUUCGCCUGUGACGAAGCGUGAGUGACGGUAAUGGGUAAAGAAGCAACGGCUAACUACGUG